AUUUAGUCAAUGCCACUCCGACAUUGCUCGUCAUAAUAUUUAUACAUUAAUUCCAUUAUUUUACUUUUAGAUUUGUGUAUUGUUGUGAAUUGUUAGAUAGUACUAAACUGUUGGCGCUAGGAACACAAGCAUUUCGCUACACCCGUAAUAACAUCUGCAAAAUAUGUGUAUGUGACCAAUACAAUUUGAUUUGAACAGACCUUGAGGUCGUCAUACACGUAACCAUGUUAAAAUACUCCAAACCAGAAGGUGGCAGUAGCAGUAGCGUUGCACGGCAAUGCAUGUCUGUGUGUAUUUAUUUCAUGGUCUAGAUUCCAAUGUUCGCUAGCUCCGCUGUUGUUAUUUUGUAGAAAGCCGUCGUUGAUACUAUCCAGAUGGCAACAGCUAGAUAACUACAUAGCAAGAUGACGAAGAAGAAAUUUAAUUCGCUCUCCAUAAUCCCAUACUACCACUACCAGCCCAUCGCUAGCUAGCUAACAUUAGCAUAUUCGCUAGCUAGCACAACAUAGCUAGUUAGCUAAGGACAAUGCUCCUGAGUGGCGCAGGCACUGCGUCUCAGUGCUAGAAGCGUCACUACAGACACCCUUGUUCGAAUCCAGGCUGUAUCACAACCAGCCGUGAUUGGGAGUCCCAUAAGGGCGGCGCCCGGGUUUGGCCGGUGUAGGCCGUCAUUGUAAAUAAGAAUUUGUUCUUAACUGACUUGCCUAGUUAAAUAAAGGUACAAUUAAAAAAAUGCACCAACUCGGCAGCUGUUUCAUGGAAAGUAAUCCAUUGUGAUUUAAUUAUGUCAAUACUAGCUACAGUGGGUAGCUUCCUUGGAAGUAUUUAGUGUGCAUUGCGUCUGUGCACUUAGCUAGUUAGUUUAUUAGCUAGUUACUAUUGCAUAUGAAGUGUGACUGGCUCAUGACAUUUAACCGUCUAUGUAUGGAUAAAAUGUCAUAUUUUUUCAAUUUUGUUGUCACUCCUGUUGGCUUCCCCACCUGGGGGUUCAUGCUCUCUGGUUGGCUCAAAGUCAAGUCAUUGUCCACUGACGAGCAUUGAGAUUCUGACAAGUAGAAAAGAGGAUCGUCGCUAUGGGGUCUACACGUAGCAGGUCAGUCUGUGCUGUCAGAGGCAGGCCAAGAUAAAUGGGGACAGUGUGACCAGAGCUGCAGAUGUCAUCAGACACCAAGACACAACUCCACACCAGGGCAAUGACACGAGAAACAACAUGCUUUCACCUUUUUCAAUAAACUUAACUGGACUUUU